GAUGAAGAACGUAGCGAAAUGCGAUACUUGGUGUGAAUUGCAGAAUCCCGUGAACCAUCGAGUCUUUGAACGCAAGUUGCGCCCGAAGCCAUUAGGCCGAGGGCACGCCUGCCUGGGCGUCACACGUCGUUGCCCCCCCAUCUACUCCUUCGGGAUUGCGGGGGGCGGAUGAUGGCCUCCCGUGCGCCUUGUCGCGCGGUUGGCAUAAAUGCCAAGUCCUCGGCGACGCACGCCACGACAAUCGGUGGUUGCGAAACCUCGGUUGCCCGUCGUGUGCGGUCGUCGCGCAUCGAGGGCUCGAAAAAAUGCUCGGCUCCGGCUCGGCUUUCAACGCGACCCCAGGUCAGGCGGGGUUACCCGCUGAAUUUAAGCAUAUCAAUAAGCGGAGGA
rnacentral:misc_RNA from 1 species